rnacentral:rRNA from 1 species
UGGUGGGGUUAGAGGGAGGGUCACACCCAGCUCCAUUCCGAACCUGGAAGUUAAGCCUCCCAUCGCCGAUGAUACUAUACCUGUCUGGUAUGGGAAAGUAGGUCGCUGCCACAUU